GGGUGGAAGUUGACAGCUCACGAUCCCCCAUGUAAUUACCUUGUGACCCCCUGAGAGGUCCCGACCCCCAGUUUGAGAACCCCUGAGCUAUUAGAAUUGGAA